ACCGUGCAAAGGUAGCGUAAUCACUUGUCUCCUAAAUAGAGACCGGUAUGAAAGGCUCCAUGAGAAAGAGACUGUCUCUUGAAGAUAGCCAAUGAAACUGAUCUGCCUGUGCAAAAGCAGGCAUAACAAAACAAGACAAAAAGACCCUGUGAAACUUAAAAAUAAAUGUCAAUAAUAUGACAACAUUUUUUGGUUGGGGCAACCAAAGAGAAACAAAAUCUCUUAAUAUACUAGACCAACAAG
rnacentral:rRNA from 1 species